GAUGAACGCUGGCGGCGUGCUUAACACAUGCAAGUCGAGCGAGUGAGUUCUUCGGAACGAUCUAGCGGCGGACGGGUGAGUAACACGUGGGCAACCUGCCUCAUAGAGGGGAAUAGCCUCCCGAAAGGGAGAUUAAUACCGCAUAAAAUUAUCGAGUGGCAUCACACGAUAAUCAAAGGAGUAAUCCGCUAUGAGAUGGGCCCGCGGCGCAUUAGCUAGUUGGUGAGGUAACGGCUCACCAAGGCGACGAUGCGUAGCCGACCUGAGAGGGUGAUCGGCCACAUUGGGACUCGGACACGGCCCAGACUCCUACGGGAGGCAGCAGUGGGGAAUAUUGCACAAUGGGGGAAACCCUGAUGCAGCAACGCCGCGUGAGUGAUGAAGGUCUUCGGAUUGUAAAGCUCUGUCUUUGGGGACGAUAAUGACGGUACCCAAGGAGGAAGCCACGGCUAACUACGUUCCAGCAGCCGCCGUAA
rnacentral:rRNA from 1 species